GAUGAACGCUGGCGGCGUGCCUAAUACAUGCAAGUCGAGCGAACAGACGAGGAGCUUGCUCCUCUGACGUUAGCGGCGGACGGGUGAGUAACACGUGGAUAACCUACCUAUAAGACUGGGAUAACUUCGGGAAACCGGAGCUAAUACCGGAUAAUAUAUUGAACCGCAUGGUUCAAUAGUGAAAGACGGUUUUGCUGUCACUUAUAGAUGGAUCCGCGCCGCAUUAGCUAGUUGGUAAGGUAACGGCUUACCAAGGCGACGAUGCGUAGCCGACCUGAGAGGGUGAUCGGCCACACUGGAACUGAGACACGGUCCAGACUCCUACGGGAGGCAGCAGUAGGGAAUCUUCCGCAAUGGGCGAAAGCCUGACGGAGCAACGCCGCGUGAGUGAUGUAGGUCUUCGGAUCGUAAAACUCUGUUAUUAGGGAAGAACAAAUGUGUAAGUAACUAUGCACGUCUUGACGGUACCUAAUCAGAAAGCCACGGCUAACUACGUG
rnacentral:rRNA from 1 species